GACGACGCUGGCGGCGUGCCUAACACAUGCAAGUCGAGCGGGGUUGAAGCGAGAGGUAACUCGAACUUCUACCUAGCGGCGGACGGGUGAGUAACGCGUGGGCAACCUGCCUCAAGGUCUGGGAUAACAGCCCGAAAGGGCUGCUAAUACCGGGUAUGCUUGUGGCCUCGCAUGGGGCUAUGAGCAAAGGGGAAACCCGCCUUGAGAUGGGCCCGCGUCCCAUCAGCUAGUUGGUGAGGUAACAGCUCACCAAGGCGACGACGGGUAGCCGGCCUGAGAGGGUGACCGGCCACACUGGGACUGAGACACGGCCCAGACUCCUACGGGGGGCAGCAGUGGGGGAUCUUGCACAAUGGGCGAAAGCCUGAUGCAGCGACGCCGCGUGAGCGAAGAAGGCCUUCGGGUCGUAAAGCUCUGUCUAGGGGGAAGAGUAAGGACGGUACCUCUGGAGGAAGCCACGGCUAACUACGUG
rnacentral:rRNA from 1 species